UACAGAGGUCUCAAGCGUUGUUCGGAAUCACUGGGCGUAAAGGGUGCGUAGGCCGCACGGUAAGUCAGAGGUGAAAUCCCGGAGCUCAACUCCGGAACUGCCUUUGAUACUGCAAAUCUCGAGUCCGGAAGAGGUGAGUGGAAUUCCGAGUGUAGAGGUGAAAUUCGUAGAUAUUCGGAGGAACACCAGUGGCGAAGGCGGCUCACUGGUCCAUUACUGACGCUGAGGUGCGAAAGCGUGGGGAGCAAACAGGG
rnacentral:rRNA from 1 species